UGUCCUAUGGCCAAGUGGUAAGGCAAUGGGCUCUGACCCCAUCAUCGUUAGUUCGAAUCUAACUAGGACAACCA
rnacentral:tRNA from 1 species